rnacentral:rRNA from 1 species
AAAGAACGCUGGCGGCAUGCCUAACACAUGCAAGUCGAACGAAUAAGACUCAAACUUCGGUUUGAGACACUGUUAGUGGCAAACGGGUGAGUAACACGUAGGAAUCUACCUUAUAGUAUGGGAUAACAGUUGGAAACGACUGCUAAUACCGUAUACGCUCUUCGGAGGAAAGAUUUAUCGCUAUAAGAUGAGCCUGCGCUAGAUUAGAUAGUUGGUGGGGUAAUGGCCUACCAAGUCAAUGAUCUAUAGCUGGUCUGAGAGGACGAUCAGCCACACUGGGACUGAGACACGGCCCAG